GCCCAAUGAUGAGACCAAGGCGAAUGCGAGCCCCUGAAUUAGAGUGUGAGCUCUCCUGUGCUUCUAUUGGCUGGUAAUCUUGGCUGGACUGCGAAGGUUUGCUGUCUUGCUGUAAGGGCCUGCCUAUAUUCAACAAGCCCUUUCCUUCGAAAUUUCCUUUUAAAGAAAUGGGGGAAGUGUAAAAGUGAGGGCGUACAUUUAAUGUGUGUGAAGGAUCACAGGUUGAGUCUUGGUUUUCUGCAUUGUUUCUGUCGGCAUUGAGCUCUGUCUUUGGUAAUCUGAGGGCA